ACGACAAACACCAAUGGAAAGAGGAGAGACACCUGAUGUAUGUUUCCUAGCCCUUUUAGAAAACAUGGAGUUGUUCCUUUGACCACACACAUGCGAAUCUAUAAGAAAGGUGAUAUUGUAGACAUAAGGGAAUGGGUACUGUAAAAAGAAAUGCCCCACUAAUGCUACCAUGGCAAAACUGGAAGAGUCUACAAUGUUACCUAGCAUGCUGUUGGCAUUAUUGUAAACAGACAAUUUAAGGGCAUGAUUCUUGCCAAAAGAAUUAAUGUGUGUAUUGAGCAUAUUAAGCAGUUUAAGAGCUGAAAUAGCUUCCUGAAACAUGUGAAGGAAAAUGACCAGAAAAAGAAGGAAACCAAAGAGAAAUAAAGGUACCUAGGUUCACCUGAAGCACCAUCCUGCUCCAUCUGGAGAAACACACUUUGUGAGAACCAACGGAAAGGAGCCUGGGCUGCUGAAACCCCUUCCCUAUGAAUUCAUG
rnacentral:lncRNA from 1 species